rnacentral:rRNA from 1 species
AGAGUUUGAUCCUGGCUCAGAUUGAACGCUGGCGGCAUGCCUUACACAUGCAAGUCGAACGGUAACGCGGGGCAACCUGGCGACGAGUGGCGAACGGGUGAGUAAAGCAUCGGAACGUGCCCAGUAGUGGGGGAUAGCCCGGCGAAAGCCGGAUUAAUACCGCAUACGACCUAAGGGUGAAAGGGGGGGAUCGCAAGACCUCUCGCUAUUGGAGCGGCCGAUGUCAGAUUAGCUAGUUGGUGGGGUAAGAGCUCACCAAGGCGACGAUCUGUAGCUGGUCUGAGAGGACGACCAGCCACACUGGGACUGAGACACGGCCCAGACUCCUACGGGAGGCAGCAGUGGGGAAUUUUGGACAAUGGACGAAAGUCUGAUCCAGCCAUGCCGCGUGCGGGAAGAAGGCCUUCGGGUUGUAAACCGCUUUUGUCAGGGAAGAAAUCCUUUGAGCUAAUACCUCGGGGGGAUGACGGUACCUGAAGAAUAAGCACCGGCUAACUACGUGCCAGCAGCCGCGGUAAUACGUAGGGUGCAAGCGUUAAUCGGAAUUACUGGGCGUAAAGCGUGCGCAGGCGGUUAUGUAAGACAGAGGUGAAAUCCCCGGGCUCAACCUGGGAACUGCCUUUGUGACUGCAUAGCUUGAGUGCGGCAGAGGGGGAUGGAAUUCCGCGUGUAGCAGUGAAAUGCGUAGAUAUGCGGAGGAACACCGAUGGCGA